rnacentral:rRNA from 1 species
UACGUAGGGGGCGAGCGUUGUCCGGAAUUAUUGGGCGUAAAGAGCGUGUAGGCGGUUCGGUAAGUCUGCUGUGAAAUCCUGGGGCUCAACCCCGGGCGUGCAGCGGAUACUGCCGGGCUAGAGGGUGGUAGAGGCGAGUGGAAUUCCGAGUGUAGCGGUGAAAUGCGCAGAUAUUCGGAGGAACACCAGUAGCGAAGGCGGCUCGCUGGGCCACACCUGACGCUGAGACGCGAAAGCGUGGGGAGCAAACAGG